UAAGUACCUUAUUAUCAUUUCUGAAGGCGGCUCAUCUGCUGUUGUAAGCCUCUGGUUAAUUGCUUGAAAUGGACAUUUUGUUGCUUGAUAUGCUUAGCGGAUAGCUGCAGAAGAAUGUUUUGCUGUUAGUGCAUUAUCAUCAAGAAUUUUGAUAGGACAAGAUAGUAUUUGAGUUAGCAGAGGAGGCUAUUUUGUCUAAAUGUUGAGAUUCAGAUGCUUAUAUUCUGCUUAUAUCGUGC
rnacentral:lncRNA from 1 species